rnacentral:lncRNA from 1 species
CCGGGAUAAUUGUAACUCAUUUAGGAGACCAGUAAGGAUUUCCAUGAGGACCCUCCUUGUCCAUGGUAGCCCACAGUUUUGCUGAAAGGCAGUUAUCAAUUGUGAAAUGAAGGAACAUCCCCACAGAUGGUUACAGAAGUGUUCUGCUCUCCUUUAGCGUGCUAAUAUUUCUUUGGUGUGAUGUUUUGUUCUGCACUACCUGUAACACCAUGCUUUGUUUGCCAUGAUUCAAACCAUUUGUUUCACUCAAUUCUCAGUACUGUGUUAUUUUCAGGAUCUGUUGCUGAACACUGGGAGACAUCCUAUAGGACAAAUUUAAAAAAGAUAAACAGUCACUCUAAUUCAAGAGGGAGGAAGAAGUCCGUAGACAGCAUUUUAAAUGUGCUUGGCACAUUUUCAUCCCAAGGGGUGCAAGUAGCGGAAAAAUCUCUCGAUCAGAUUCUGCCACUUCUGUUCUCAAAAGGCAGAUGGUGCACAGGACCUGUGGGAGACCCACUGCCUUACAGUGCUCCAGGUGACCUCCGGAAUGGCAGCUAUGGCCAGGCAGGACACAAUAGGGUAUCUCAAAUGACAGUUGAUACUUAUUUUUAGGCAACUGAAUGACACCUAUAUUGAUACCAGUAAUGUGUUCAGCAGGGCGCUCUGCAAAUCAAGGAAAGGUGACAUGACGAAGGUUUCCAGGGACAUAACGCUUCUGACACCAACCUUUGCAUAGAGUCAUUGCCUUCAAGUGGUGAUGGAGCAGGUAGUGUUUGUCCAUUGUUUCUUUAUUGUGGUGGCAUCUUCCCCUUGGUUCAGUGAUAUCUGGGGAAACUGAAUGAAUGAUGAAGCCUGUGCCUUUCUACCACGCUAAUACCCUGAGAGUAUUACAAUUAUAAUUAUAAUGCCUGAACUAUGUUGGUUUCAGUAAUCUAUUAAUUACACCGUUAGCAAUUGGGAAUGAAGCCUGAGGUUUUCAUUUUCUUAGCGGUUCCCAAAUCCCCUUCUUGUACUACCUAUUCCCAAGCAAUAGCUUUAGGCUCCUGAACUGAUGGCUUAGGUGGAAAUCCAGAG